UCGAGAAUCAUUCACAAUGGGGGAAACCCUGAUGGUGCGACGCCGCGUGGGGGAAUGAAGGUCUUCGGAUUGUAAACCCCUGUCAUGGGGGAGAAAAUUAAAAAGAUAGUACCACAAGAGGAAGAGACGGCUAACUCUGUGACAGAAGCCGCGGUAAUACAGAGGUCUCAAGCGUUGUUCGGAAUCACUGGGCGUAAAGCGUGCGUAGGCGGUUUCGUAAGUCGGGUGUGAAAGGCGCGGGCUCAACCCGCGGACGGCAUAUGUGACUGCGAGACUAGAGUAAUGGAGGGGGAACCGGAAUUCUCGGUGUAGCAGUGAAAUGCGUAGAUAUCGGGAGGAACACUCGUGGCGAAGGCGGGUUCCUGGACAUUAACUGACGCUGAGGCACGAAGGCCAGGGGAGCGAAAG
rnacentral:rRNA from 1 species